rnacentral:rRNA from 1 species
AGUGAACGCUGGCGGUAGGCCUAACACAUGCAAGUCGGACGGCAGCACAGUAAGAGCUUGCUCUUACGGGUGGCGAGUGGCGGACGGGUGAGGAAUACAUCGGAAUCUACUUUUUCGUGGGGGAUAACGUAGGGAAACUUACGCUAAUACCGCAUACGACCUACGGGUGAAAGCAGGGGAUCUUCGGACCUUGCGCGAUUGAAUGAGCCGAUGUCGGAUUAGCUAGUUGGCGGGGUAAAGGCCCACCAAGGCGACGAUCCGUAGCUGGUCUGAGAGGAUGGUCAGCCACACUGGAACUGAGACACGGUCCAGACUCCUACGGGAGGCAGCAGUGGGGAAUAUUGGACAAUGGGCGCAAGCCUGAUCCAGCCAUACCGCGUGGGUGAAGAAGGCCUUCGGGUUGUAAAGCCCUUUUGUUGGGAAAGAAAAGCAGCAGGUUAAUACCCCGCUGUUCUGACGGUACCCAAAGAAUAAGCACCGGCUAACUUCGUG